CCUAUAGCAGAGGGUUGGAAGUACAUGAUCUUAAAUAUCCCUUCCAACACAAACCAUUUUAUGAAUCUAUGAUCAUACUAGAGAAAAGAAAUGAACAAAAGGUGGAUUUUUGUGUGUCAGUAAUGAAAACCCAUUGCUACUGUGCUGGAAUGAAGUGAUUCUGCAGAAGGAGUAGGUUUGUGUCUUGUUUAAUGGAAGAAGGGCAAUUGAAGCUCACUGUAAAAGUGGAUGAUGUGUUGAUAAAGCAACUGAUUGGCUUCGUGACAAAAAGAAGAAAAUGCGGUUCCUGCCUUGCUCUGGUGUCAUGAUCCAAACUUUGCAGCGGGUUGGUGCGUUAGAGCAACAGUAAAACUCUUUGUCUGGCGUGGUUGAGUCAUGCAAUUAUCUCAAUAACAGUAAGUACCUAGCAACAGCCUCAAUAAACACCCAUUUAUUUGAUUAAUCAGCCAUUUUGAAACAGGUUUGGUAAACAUUACCCUUUCACUUCUGGAUUACUUCAUUAAGAAAGCUGCCCACUGAGGCUUCUCCCCACAUGAUGAAUAACCAUCAAUGUCCUGCACAGCUUGGGCAGGUGGGCUGAGCUUCCUCAGACAGUUCCACAGUACAGAGAGCAGGUCAGGGAAGCAUUUUUUGUGGGGUUUCUAGCUAUGAGUUCACGAUAAAACUGUUGAUGGUUAUGUGCACUCUCAGUAAGUGCACAAGAAUCUGGUGCCUAUGAGAGCAAGACAGGAAGAAAGAAGCAGCAGCGUCUCAGUUUCCAUGAAUGUAAACAUUUGCACGUGAUAUUUAAGGAUAGCUCACAGUGGCUGGUAUGUACUUUAAGUACUGAAAUGUGCUCAGAGAGCUCACAGACUGCGAGAAGUGUUUGCCAUGAAUUGGAAUCUGGGAACAAAUGGAAAGUUUUGUUAUCGUGAAAGAUAUCAAGAUUAUUUCCAAAGUAACCCUUGAUGCAACCCUGUGAAAGGGAGGCUGUGAAGUUUAGUUAAAAAGCACAUAUAUGCAUAUGCAUAGAAAGAAAUAUGCAUGUAAAAACAUUCCUAUAUAUAUGCAUAUACAGACUGGAGGUGCCCUCUUCAUGAGAAUGCUGAGAAUGAAGCUGUUGCCCAUUCUUUCCCAAGCUCUCCUGCAUAGUAGUGAGAGAACUGAACCGAAGGAACAGGGAAACUUCAUUUCACAGGAAAAUGUCUCCGUUGAACUGAACCUCUGUCCUCUUGCCCCAGGUAAAUGCUCCAACCAGCUACAUGGUUGAAUGGCCUUUGCUCAGCCCUUCCAGCUGACACUGUUCUGUUCUGCAUGAAAUAAUUAAACAUAGAUCUCUACUUGUUUCAGUCAUGAUAAAAAACUACAGACCUGCUUUUGUGUCCAGGUGUUUGGUGUUUCUUUUUUUUCAUCCCGCUGUCAUAAAGCCACUUAAAUAUGCAUUAUUUAUCAUCAAUGUAGAGAGAUUAUCUCCAGUAUUAAAGUACUGUAUAGCAGCAGAGUUCACUCCCUUCCCUGUUGAUUCUCAAUAUACAAAGAAAUAAACUCCUUUUAUGACUGUGUUCACAGCCCAGAGAUUGUGCCUGUCAUUGAAGCAAUACAGUCUGCUUUCAGAUAAGAUCUAGACCUAGCCUUGCUCAGCAGAGAGGAAAGGCAGAUGUAGACCUCUCUCCUGCAAAAACAUCAUCGCCCGCCUGCUGCGGGGUGAGGCUCUCAGGUGCCUCCAGAUCUUCCCGCUUAUCUCAGCCCGUCAUCACAUCUCCUUGUGUUUCCCAUGCGUCACCUUUGUGCAGCGUCAACAGAGAGCCAUGCAGCGCGCUUCCGUAAAGGCACACAGAGAAUAACGUAAAGGAAAAACCACACAUCAAAACAGAAGUGCACACUUUGGCCGUGUUCCUUCCAGGAGCUCAGAUGGGUCCUUUGCAUGCAGUUCCAGCCUUCUGCAGGUCCAGGUAAAUUAGAUACUGGUCAUUUCUUCUGGACUGCUAGGAGCCUAAUUGUAUACUGCUGAUGUUUGACCUUUCAUGUCAGGACUUGAUUGCAACUCAGAAAUAGAUGUUAUUUCUUUCUAACGGUAUUUCUAGGUGGUCUUUCUAAUGGUAUUUCUGCUGUCAAUCUAUUGACACACCUAGAAGCAAUACAGAGCAAGGUGGAGGCCUCCUGUUGUGAAAAUGAGAUGGGAGCCUGGAAGUCCUACAGUAUCCUCCAUCAUCUGUUACAUGGUUUUGCAGUUUCCUGGGAACAAAAUGUUUCCAAGGCUGGAUGGUUGUUGGCAGCCACUCCCACCAACUGGAAGGAUCUGGGCAAAUGGCCUGGCAGCGACAACAGGGACUGCUUCAAGUGUCUGCUGUGAAGGGCCAAAAAUAUGUGAAAAAGAGAGUAAAGGACUUUCUUUCCUUUUCACUACCACAGUAAAAUCACCUGGGUUUAUGCCUCAUCCCUCAGGCUUUUUGUCACACCUUUUCUGAUGCUCUCAGCCUUCCCACCUGCUAAAUGCCUAUCUGAUGGCACACGACAGACUGACAGCACAUCUUUUUGUAGUUGCUCACACUGGGGAAAAAAGUCUCCACUUGCUGAAAGAUGCUUUAAUUGAAUGUUGUGAAAGCAAUCUUCUGAACAACUGUGCUGGAAAGAUGGGGCUUGCAUUUGUUGCAGAAGACAGAAAGGCAGAUGAGUAGGCCCAGAAUAUAGGCCAUGUCAACUCAACGGAAAUAAUUCACACUUCAUAUUUUUUAAGUGCCUGAUUUCACAUUUUCAAAUGACUUAUAUUUUUGAAUCACUUAACAGAUUGCCUCCAGUUUUGGAUUAUCUCUUUAGUCUCUAUUAAUAAAUAAACCAGGCCAGGGACCGUGUGCUGGUCCUGAGGCACAGAGGGCAGCACAGCUCCCAUCCAUAUGGCUGAUCUUGCUGCCCCUUUGUGAAAAGCACAGGGAACAGUCUCCAGCCCGUGGUGUUCUCUGGGCAGGGAUAAUGUUUAGAUACUUGUAAUAUAUGUUCUCAGGACGACAGAUGGAAAAAAGUUGAGAUUUUUCAUUUAUUUACAUGAAGAGUUAGCUUGUUAAUUUUCCACUUGUGCACUUGAGGGGGUGGCAAUGUAUACUCAGAGUACAAGGUCUAGGAAAACCCAACCAAGUAUAAAUAAUCCUGAAAUUUAACACCUGCACAGCCACUGAUGCUUUCAGCCCACAGAAUUGUUUUAUGUAUUUUAAUUCUUCAUGUGUGAUUUUGUUAGCAUCUUCCAAUGGUCAAGGACCAGGACAGCUUCUCCCACAGGACAAGAUAAUCCUGAUGAAACAUUAGGAAGAAAUAAAGCCCAGAGAGACCAUUAUUUUGCUGUUGAUUCUUCACUAAACACCAUAAUGAGUCAGACAACUUCCGCCUUGAUAUGAAUAGGGGUGUAGGCAGGAGCAAUUGGUUAGGUUUUGCCAAGCAGGCUCACAUGGCUAAAGUUCAUGGGCAGGUUCCUGGGGUACCUGGCUCUCAGGAAGCACUUAGAAAAGCAGGAAUGAUACACUAUUCUGCUCAGAAUCUUUUCCACUAGAUUUAUCCAUCAGUAGCCUGGAAAGCAAUUAACAAGUUCCAUUACUCCCAAAGCAGGUAACAAACACUUAGAGUGUUGAGCACAUCUCAACACUUAAUUCUCACCUAUAACCACUCUUAGGGCUUUACAAAGGCUAACAGCUUGGAAAUGCACUAUCUAUCAUAGAAUGGCUUGAAAUCAAACUCCACAGACAGGGCUGCCAACCACUAGAUCACAUUAUCUGCUACUGCUUUGCAUAAUUCACCCCCAAAAAGCCUUACUGAACAUACACAAUUAUACUUAAUGGAUUACACACUGGUGGCAGAAGUGGGUCUUAUAGAAGUUCAAUAGGCAAGAAGAAUGAAGAGUGAGAUUACAAUUCAUGUAAUUGACAGUAUAUGGCAUUGACUUCUGAGUGUCUAAUACAGGGCUUUCCAUGUGCCACAAAAAUAGUUGUUCUCUCUCACCUGGCUACACUAGCUUGAAGUGCAGAAAAUCAGGAUUUCGGCUCCAAAAUUCAAGUUUAAAUAUUUUAUGUAUUAGCUAGAAUAGGAGCUAUCACAUCUGCCAAAUAAACUGAGGGAGAAGCUGCCCCUCAUCUCCCCAUGUGGGCUUGCCAAGAGUCCCAGUAUGAGCAUCCCCUGUGUUCCUAACCAUGUGAGUGGUCAGAAAGCAGCCAGAGGCUUCGGGCUGAGCUCUGCAGGCUGCUGCAGUCUGCCACAAGCAGCCAUGCACUCUGCUCAGUGUGAGCAGAGGCCCCGUCUCCAUUGGGUUGUCCCUGCAAACAGUGCAGAAGCACAGCCCCUUGCCUGCAAUGUGGCAGAGCUGUGAGACAGAGCAGUACUGGCUGGAGUUGCUUGAAUCUCAUCACUCUGCUCUUUUUAUCUCACCCUCACAAAUCAUUCCUGUCUUUAGAAGUAUUCUGAGAGUUGACAGUGAAUUUUAUUGGUCUUUUCCAAUGUACAAAGAUCUAUCCCUAUUCAGUCAUCUAACAGGGGCUAUACUAAGACUGCAGCCUUCCAUCAGUAUAGGCACGAAUGGGACCUGCUUUCUUUUCCUAUUGCUAUGAAAUCUAUGGGAAAAAGAGAUCUUUGCAACUGCUACCCACAAAUGUUUCUUAGCUGGCCAUACAAAUAGAAGGUUUUGUGUGGUUAUGCUACCUGACUCAUCAACACAAAGUGACCAUGUCAGUCAGUAUAUAUUCCCUAGGGUGGAAGUAUUUCUUAAUCAUGUUCAUUUAAUCCACUUCACCAUAUUUCUAAUCUCUGUCAGCAUAGGAGGACAUCCUGAAGUGCUCCUGUGCAUAACAAGUACAUACAGUGUUCAUGUGACAUUGUAGCCAGGAGCGCACAGAAGAGCUGUUAAACCAUACUAGAAUCAUGGAAAUGCUUGCAGUUGUCCUGCAAAUCAGUGCGGCUGAAAUUUGUGUCAACCCCUCCCUCCCCCAACCUAUUUUGCAUAGAAUCCAACUUGUUCCUCUCCAUUUCCCAGAAGAAGCAAUGAAGGAAGCCAUACAUGUGAUUCCAUCAGUCAAGCCUGUUCCCAAAGACAGAGGAUAGAACUAAGGCACAGGUUUUAGUGAUUAAGACAUAUGGAACUGAUAUUACAUUUCUCCAUAAUUCUUGCUCCUUAAGGACUUCGGACAACCUUUUGGCCUUCCCCCCUUGCAUAAGCAGAACCAUGCAAGAAAAACAAGAACAUGAGAACCUGCAUAGCACAGACUGCCUCAGUCUGAACUCUCUGGACUUCAAAAACCUCACUCUGCACAACAACCACAGGACAGACAGACGGGAAAUGGUGCUGGGCACAGUGGCUGAUGGUGUGAGGUUGCUCUCCUGCCCCCUCAGCAGUUUUUUUUCCAGCCUUCCUCUGAUUCAUCAGAAAAAAAAGUCACAAAACGGUUGAGGUUGGAAGGAACCACUUGGGAUCAUCUAGGCUACAUUCAUAAGAUUCUCUUUCAGUCUUCUCUUCUCCAGGCUGAACAAGCACAACUCUCUCAGCCUCUCUUUGCAUUACAGAUGCUCCAGGCCUUUAAUCAUCUUCAUAGCCCUUUGCUGAGCUCACUCGAAGAGCUCCAUGUUAUUCCUGUACUGGACAGGCCAGAACUGGGCAUAGUACUCCAGAUGUGGUCUCACAAGGGAAGAAUACAGGGAGAGGAUCACCUCCCUCAGCUUGUUGGCCACACUUCUCCUAACAUACCCCUAGACACCAUUGGCCUUUUUGGCCACAAGAACACACUACUGGCUCACAGCCAACCUGUUACAACUAGAUGUUGGUCGUAGGAAGCAGCAAAACUGCUACUGACAAGUUCUUUGCAAUACCAAAGUAUCACAGAAUCAUAGAAUGGCCUGGGUUGAAAAAGA